UACGGAGGGUGCGAGCGUUAAUCGGAAUUACUGGGCGUAAAGGGCGCGUAGGUUGUUGUUUAAGUGGGAUGUGAAAUCCCCGGGCUUAACCUGGGAACUGCAUUUCAAACUGAACAACUAGAGUGCAGUAGAGGGAAGUGGAAUUUCCGGUGUAGCGGUGAAAUGCGUAGAGAUCGGAAGGAACACCAGUGGCGAAGGCGACUUCCUGGACUGACACUGACACUGAGGCGCGAAAGCGUGGGUAGCGAACAGG
rnacentral:rRNA from 1 species